rnacentral:misc_RNA from 1 species
AGAAGGAUCAUUCACAAUGCAUACGUAAGCAUUAUGCAUGCAUACAGGCACAGUACUGGAUGUAUGCCAACUUUCAUGUGAAAAACGAACUUAAGGAAAUUGGUGAAAAUCGUGAGACAAACGAACUGAGAGAAACUGGUUAAUCAUUGCAAUUGAUAGAGUAUUAUUAAAUACACGACUUUCAGCGAUGGAUGUCUCGGAUCUCGUAACGAUGAAGGACGCAGCUAGCUGCGAUACGCAGUGUGACUUGCAAACUUCAGAGAAUCACUAGAUUUUUGAACGCAAAAGGCACUCUUGAGUUCUGCUCAGGAGUAUGUUCACUUCAGUGCUUUAUAUGUUUGUUGUCUUAAUUGGUAGACAACGUGGAUAGUUGCUGUUCUUACGGCUUCUGAAAUCGAAUGGUCUUGCCUCUUUGGUGAUCCCUUAGAGACGACGACCUAGUUGUUAUUCAAACAAGCCUGAAUUUGAGCAAGGCUACCCGCUGAAUUUAAGCAUAUUAUUAAGCGGAGGAAAAGAAACUAACUAGGAUUCCCUUAGUAACGGCGAGUGAACAGGGAAGAGCUCAAACUGAAAAUCAGCAGCUUGCUGUUGAAUUGUAGUCUCACGAAGUGCAGCCUGUGUUUGUUCUAGGUUAAGUCUCUUGAAAAAGAGUUCCAGAGAGGGUGAAAGACCCGUCUUUGCCUAGAAAUAUUCACGUUCGGUGCAUUUUCAAAGAGUCGCGUUCCUUGAGAUUGGAGCGCUAAUUGGGUGAUAAAUUUCAUCUAAAGCUAAAUACUAACGAGAUUCCGAUAGCAUACAAGUACCGUGAGGGAAAGAUGAAAAGGACUUUGAAAAGAGAGUUAAAAGGAACUGAAAUCGCUGAAAGGGAAGCGGACAGUCUCGACGGUCUAGCAAUACUCGCUGUUUGGCCUGUUACUGACUGGCUUUGAACGGCUAGAGUUCUGCGGUGACUCUGGAAAUGGUUGUCGAAAUUGAGCAAGACAUUGAUGGGUUCCCUUUGGGUUCACGCCUUUGUUGUUUUCAGUUCGCACGACUUCUAUCCUAGUGCUUCACUUUAGUGGUAGCGCUAUACUAUUCCAGACAAGUCGUUUCUGUCCGUCCCGUCUUGAAACACGGACCAAGGAGUCUAACUUAUGUGCGAGUACAAGGGUGGAAAACCCACGUGCGAAAUGAAAGUAAAUGUCAGGAAGGGCAACCUGCACUGACGCCCGGCUACCAAGCUGAGGCUGAGCAUAUAGGUUAGGACCCGAAAGAUGGUGAACUAUGCCUGAGUAGGGUGAAGCCAGAGGAAACUCUGGUGGAAGCUCGUAGCGAUACUGACGUGCAAAUCGUUCGUCAAACUUGGGUAUAGGGGCGAAAGACUAAUCGAACCAUCUAGUAGCUGGUUCCCUC